GGGAUACAGUUAAGAUGUGGUGGCAAGAGAACUGAAUGUCUCAGAAAAUGUUAUAAAAAUUAAAUUUCAACCAGGGAGCUGUUGUCAGAAAUUUGGUAUUUUAUUUUACCACCAAUCCUAAAAAAAUUGGUUUGCCACUUAUAUUUCCUAAAAAAAAAAAAAAAUAAAUAGAUAGAUAAGCAAACAGCAACAACAACCAACUGGAUACUUACAUUUUUAAUUACUUCCUUGUUUCAGUACCUCAAUCAUACCUCAGUACAUUUUAAGAGAUUGAAGUACUUAGAAGCUAUAAAACCAUUAUUAUUAUUAUUAUUAUUAUUUUAUUAUUAUUGCUCUUAUGAAUGCUAUGUCUGUCAUGAAAAAGCUAAGUUCAGUGUAUGUGCUAUUAGUUGGAGUUUUCUGUGAUUUUGCCACUGUAGCUCCCACAUGUGUGGAGUACUAGAUCUCAUGGCUUGGUUAUUUUAUACCUCAGGGUUCUUAACCAGGGCACAGGCAACAAGUUUCCAACCACCAGCUGUGAUGCAUUGGUUGUGAUGGUGCUAGAUGUGUAGCUCCUACACAGUCUGGUGGUCAUGGAUGUCAUGUGUUGUGGUUUCCUCCUUUGUCCACGCCAGGAAAGCCUGCUCUCCUGCCAUGUGACUCCUCUGUUAUGUAACUCUAAACCACAACUGUGAGGAUGAGCAAACACUGACAAGGCUCUAUGGUUUGCAGACAGAUUCAACUAUGUCCUUCAAGGGAGUCUUCAUUUAGGUGAGGCCAUGAAGACCAGAUUGCCAUCACAAGGAAAAAUUUGAGAUUAUCAAGUUGCUGCUCUGCUGAAAGCCAGGGGAAGACAUGCUUUUGCCUUUUUAUAAUGGUUUGGGGCCUCCAUACUGAUCUCUUGGUACUGUCUCUCCCCAUCUCUAAAAGAAGUCCAUGAUGUCAGCUACAUUACAGACUUGUGUUUUUUUUGUUGUUUUUUUUUUGUUUGUUUGUUUUUUGUUCAGACCCCAGAUUUCACAUUCAUUUUCUGGAUAUGUCAUUUCUAGCACCUGUGUGAGGGAGGGAAGUAUCCCUGCUUCUGCCGAGAAGGGGAGGGGAAGUGUGAAUGGAAAGAUGGCUUCCAGCAAAUGUUCCCAAGAAAAACAGGCUUUGCUUUCAAUACCACAGAUUUGCAGAAUUGAAUGA
rnacentral:lncRNA from 1 species